UUGAGUUUAAAGAUGCUGAGAAGUAAUGAAUUGCAGGCUAAUUACUAUAUAUUCAUUUCUGCUAAAAUAUUCACGUCCAUGAAUAAAUGUGUAGAAACAUACUUACACUCAUUUACAGAAAUGAAAUAAAUCUACAUAAGCUGUUGAAAAAUGAUGAACCUAACCACUUUUUUGGAUUUAGAAAUCAGGAAUUGGAAUUAAAUCCACUUUUAUUAGCCUUAAAUUUGUACAGAAAUAGUUCCAGUUGUAAAAGCCCCGCCAUGUUGAAUCAAGGCUGCAAGUCAAUAUGGACGAUCAAGUCCUUCGUGUACACUGGUUAGCACAAGUACUCAUCGAAACUAAUGCGACAUUGUUUUGAUAUGGCAGAGGAACUGAAAUGAUUAAUAAUCUGGGAGCAGCCUUCUACAAACGAUCUUCUCACAAUGAUUAACCGAGUGCGAAGGGUCAGGUUGAAAUCAUAUUUCCUGUAUCUAUUUUACACCUGGAUCACUUAUAUUGUGACGUCGACUACUGCGACCAUGGAAACGGUCACUAAUCUUACAUUGAAUUGCACAAAUAGAAUCUCGAUUACAUCUCCCGGAUAUCCUUCCCAAUACCAAAAUAAUAUCUUCAAGGAAUGGUACAUCAAAGCACCUCGUCAGAG